AACGCACACUUAAAAUAUACUUUAUUCCAUAAAACCUGCACUGCAAUAGCACAGAUAAUUACAGCAUCUUUGUAGUACCCACAAAACAUAAGCAAACACACAAAAACUUCCAAGAGUAUGCCAUUUUACAUGGCUAGCAACCACAAAUCCAAAGCCACUAAACAGUUAUAAAAGCAAGACAUACAUAUCAGCAAACCAGAAUGCAAAAGACAAAUUCAAAAACCACCACGAAGGCGAAGGACAAGGUG
rnacentral:misc_RNA from 1 species